rnacentral:rRNA from 1 species
UACGUAGGGUGCAAGCGUUGUCCGGAAUUAUUGGGCGUAAAGAGCUCGUAGGCGGUCUGUCGCGUCGGCUGUGAAAACCCGAGGCUCAACCUCGGGCCUGCAGUCGAUACGGGCAAACUGGAGUGUUGCAGGGGAGACUGGAAUUCCUGGUGUAGCGGUGAAAUGCGCAGAUAUCAGGAGGAACACCGGUGGCGAAGGCGGAUCUCUGGGCCUUACCUGACGCUGAGGCGCGAAAGCUAGGGGAGCGAACAGG